GAUGAACGCUGGCGGCGUGCCUAAUACAUGCAAGUCGAGCGAACAGAUAAGGAGCUUGCUCCUUUGACGUUAGCGGCGGACGGGUGAGUAACACGUGGAUAACCUACCUAUAAGACUGGGAUAACUUCGGGAAACCGGAGCUAAUACCGGAUAACAUUUGGAACCGCAUGGUUCUAAAGUGAAAGAUGGUUUUGCUAUCACUUAUAGAUGGAUCCGCGCCGUAUUAGCUAGUUGGUAAGGUAACGGCUUACCAAGGCAACGAUUCGUAGCCGACCUGAGAGGGUGAUCGGCCACACUGGAACUGAGACACGGUCCAGACUCCUACGGGAGGCAGCAGUAGGGAAUCUUCCGCAAUGGGCGAAAGCCUGACGGAGCAACGCCGCGUGAGUGAUGAAGGGUUUCGGAUCGUAAAACUCUGUUAUUAGGGAAGAACAAACGUGUAAGUAACUGUGCACGUCUUGACGGUACCUAAUCAGAAAGCCACGGCUAACUACGUG
rnacentral:rRNA from 1 species